AUGUGUCUAGUUUGAGCAUAAAAAAAUUUGAGAGCCAUUGGAUACAUUCUCAUCAUUUCACAAUUGAUUUGGCAAAGUGUACAAAAUUUGGUCACAUGUCACAAACCCUAAGGCCAUUAAAAAAACCAUCCAUCCAAAAAUUCUGGAAAAAUAAUGAUAAAAAAGUAGAGAUCAUGAUGAACACAACACAAAAAAUCCCAUUGAAUUUGGACCAAAAAUGAGCAAGUUAUGAAUUUUGGAAGAUUGGUAAUUAAAAUGUGAAAUAAAUGAAGCAAGAAUGGCAAUUUUGUAAUAUUUGGAUCCACUUAUCAAAACACAGUCGUUUUGGGCAGCAAAUGGAAUGUUUUGAUUGGCUGGAGGGGGGCACACGAAAAUGGGGGCAAUUCUGGGCAGAUUGGGAUUAGGGUUCUUAUCAAAAAAAACGUGAUUUCUCAAUUCUUCCCAAAAGUGUCAAUUAAGCAUACCAUUGUAAACAUCAAACACCAUACAACAACAAUCCAAACCCUAAUUUCAUCAAUUUGAACUAUACAACAAGAAAUCACAAGAAACAUUUUCAAACAUCAAACUUUAUAAAGUGUCAAUUAAGCAUACCAUUGUAAACAUCAAACACCAUACAACAACAAUCCAAACCCUAAUUUCAUCAAUUUGAACUAUACAACAAGAAAUCACAAGAAACAUUUUCAAACAUCAAACUUUAUCCCAUCAUAACUUCAUGAACAAGCAACUAUUCCAAAAAAUGAAAGCAUCAUGGUACUCAGCAAUAAAGGAUCUUUCCAAAGUGUAUGUCAAUUUUAAGAAUGGGGGAAGUUGAAAACUUACUAAUUUUGAGAAGCAGUUGUAUUGCUGGUGCCUUUUGAUGGAUUUGGGGUGAAGUGAUCGUCCUAGAGCCUUGCCUUGAUGUAUGCUGAAGAUUGCUCUUUGUCAAAUGCUUGUGUAGUGUCCACUCAAAGGGGGUGCAAAUGUUGUCAAGCCAGGCCAGGUUUAUGACUGUUGCUGCAGUGUUGGAUUUUUCUGUGGUGUUUGACAGGACCUUUCUUGGCAAGAUGCAAGUGAGGUGGUUGGAAUAAGGCAGGAUGAAUGCUGGUUCUGUUGUUUUGAUGGCAGGAAAAUGAAGUCCUCUGCCUGCUGCUAAGUUGUUGUGACAGGUUUUUGGUAAGAAUCAAAUGAAGUGAGUUUGAGUUUUGCUAAGUUGGUUUUUAGGAUUUGAAGAAAGCAAAACAAAGUUGGACUGGCCUGCUGCUAUUUCUUGGAUUCUUGUUAUGACAACCCAUGGUCUAUGCCAAGCAAGCAAGCAUGAAGUUGAAAAAAAAGAGGAGGGGAGAGAAGAGACAGAGAAUGGCAAUUUUGUAAUAUGGAUCCACUACAAAACACAGCGUUUGGGCACAAUGGAAUGUUUGAAUUGGCUGGAGGGGGGCACACGAAAAUGGGGCAAUCUGGGCAGAUUGGGAUUAGGGUUCUUAUCAAAAAAAACGUGAUUCUCAAUUCUUUCCCAAAAGUGCAAUUAAGCAUACCAUUGUAAACAUACAAACACCAUACAACAACAAUCAACCUAAUUCAUCAAAUUUGAACUAUACAACAAGAAAUCACAAAAACUUUCAAACAUCAAACUUAUCCCAUCAUAACUUAUGAACAAGCAACUAUCCAAAAAAUGAAAGCAUCAUGGUACUUCAGCAAAAAGGAUCUUCCAAAGUGUAUGUCAAUUUUAAGAAUGGGGAAGUUGAAAACUUACUAAUUUUGAGAACAUUGUAUUGCUUGGUGCCUUUUGAUGGAUUGGGUGAAGGGAUCGUCCUAGAGCCUUGCCUUGAUGGUAUCUGAAGAUUGCUCUUUGUCAAAUGCUGUGUAGGUCCACUCAAAGCGGAAAAAUGUUGUCAAGCCAGGCCAGGUUUAUGACUGUUGCUGCAGUGUUGGAUUUUCUGUGGUUUUGACAGGACCUUUCUUGGCAAGUGCAAUGAGGUGGUUGAAUAACAGGAUGAGAAUGCUGGUUCUGUUUUUUGAUGGCAGGAAAAUGAAGUCCUCUGCCUGCUGCUAAGUUGUUGUGACAGGUUUUGGUAAGAAUCAAAUGAAAGUGAGUUUGAGUUUGCUAAGUUGGUUUUUAGAUUUUGAAGAAAGCAAAACAAAGUUGGACUGGCCUGCUGCUAUUUCUUGGAUUCUUGUUAUGACAACCAUGGUCUAAUGCCAAGCAAGCAAGCAUGAAGUGAAAAAAAAGAAAGUAUUCGGCUGCUACUGGUUUUUAGACAGAAAAGAAUAAAAUGCAAAUAGUUAGGUUCAGUUGAGGAGUGGAGCUGUUGGUUGUUGGAUGUGUGUAGCAGAAAAAAAUGUUGGUUUGUUGGAUGCUGGUUCUGCUGUUGGUGUUUUGUUGACAGAAAGAUGUGGGAUGCAAAAUAGCAAGUUGAUGGUGAGCUGCAGGUUUGUAAUGGGUGUUUGCUGCUAGUAAACUUGGAAGAAAUGGCAAAAUGCAGUUGGGUGGCUUUUGGAGAUUGUAGGAAGUUGUUAGUUUUGUUGGUUAGUUUUGUUGGUUUGGUGGCUGCAAAGUUCUUUUGCAUGACAGAAAAUGGCUCAAAUAUGGUUCCUCAUGCUUGGACAGAAAAGCAAAAACAAACUAGUGCACACUCUUCGAUUUUCAAGCGCAGUUUUUUGCUUCUCUGGUACAGGGUGUUUGUAAAGUGGCCAAAGGCUUUGUUUGAUGAUAGCCAAAUGAAGUGGCAAGGUGGUUGUAUAUGCAGGGUUGGAAUGAAUGCAAUGCAAGAUGAUGCUGGGGUUUGUUGGUCUGUUAUGCUGGUUUUGAGGCAAGGCCAAGGGUUGUACAAGUUUUUAGAAUCACCAUUAGAAAAAUGAAGAGCUGUUUGUAUGCUGCUUUUUGUAACUUUCAAACAAACACUUGCCAUCUUGACAUGCCAACGCAAUCCUUUUUGUAUCAUGACCUCUUUCUUUUUGGUCUGCAGUUGCUUGUGGUGUAACUGCGUCUCAAAAGUGACAGCAAGAAGAACAAAGAAAACCCUGCUUUUUGUUGCUUAGUUCUGCAAUGCCUUUUUCUUCUGAGUUUUACAGGUNNNNNNNNNNNNNNNNNNNNNNNNNNNNNNNNNNNNNNNNNNNNNNNNNNNNNNNNNNNNNNNNNNNNNNNNNNNNNNNNNNNNNNNNNNNNNNNNNNNNNNNNNNNNNNNNNNNNNNNNNNNNNNNNNNNNNNNNNNNNNNNNNNNNNNNNNNNNNNNNNNNNNNNNNNNNNNNNNNNNNNNNNNNNNNNNNNNNNNNNNNNNNNNNNNNGAAUGAAAAGUAUUUCUGCUCCUGCUACCUUGGGUUCUUUAGACAGAAGAAGAAUAAAAUGCAAAUAGUUAGGUCAGUUGAGGGAGUGUGAGUCGUUGGUUUGUUGGAUGCUGUAGGAGCAGAAAAAAAAUGUGGUUUUGUUGGAUGCUGGUUCUGCUGUUGGUGUUUUGUUUUGACAGAAAGUGUGGGAUGCAAUAACGAAUUUGAUGAUUGAUGCUAGAUGGUUUGAGUGGAAUGGUGAUUGUUUGCUGCUAAGUAAACUUGGAAGAAAUGGCCAAAAUGCAGUGUGUGGCUUUUGGAGAUUUGUAGUAAGUUGGUUAGUUUUUUUUUUAGAAAAAUCCAAGGGUGUUUGUGGUCUUGUUGGAAGGUAUGGUUGAGCUAGCUAGUUCAAGUAAGGUUACUGCAGGUUCUUUGGUACUGCUGCAGGCAACUGAUUUUUCUGUUUUGUUAAUGCCCCAAAAACCUGUUUUCAAACCCUGCUCUUAACUGUUGUUUGUGAUGGCAAGGCAUGGUAUAGGGUUGUGGCAUUGUGCAGCCAGUAGUUCUCAAAAAAUGACUGGAAAAUGUGAUCCACAAAAUCUGCUUUGUGAUGUGGUGAAAGCAUGGUUGUGGAAGUAUGGUGUGGAAUGGUGUAAUUGUACUUUUACUCUCCAAUUUUUAGGCAAUUAGGACAUGGCCAUAUGUACCAUUGAUUUUUGGCUGCAUAAUGAGGCUCUAAGGACAGAAGAAAGGCUGCAUAAUUGCUGUCCUUUUGAGGUACAAGGCAAGGCAUGGACAAGCAUGGUGCAAUGGUACUUUUCUUACAAUUCAAGCAACCAAACAAGAUUCACAUGUUCUGCAUAAUUUGACCUUGCAAACACCUUCUAAAUGACAUUUAUGAGCUGUUCCAAUUGGCCAAAUGCUGAAAAAAUGUUUGAGUCAAAAAGUCAACUCUUGGUCAAACUUACAUUUAAAUGAAAAAGGUCAAAAUAUGCCAUUUUGAUUGGUAAAGUUUUAGGUCAUGAAAUUUAUAUUUUUGGAAAGAGGAUGAAAAAUGUGACUUGUAGGAAAAAACCCCACCAAAAUUGGCCAAACGGUUUGAGAGAUAUGGCCUUUUGAAGUUCAAGAUUUUCUGAAAUCGAUUCGAUCAUAACUUGCCAACCAUACAUGGGAAUUGAGAGUUCUAGGACUUUUUGGAAAUGGGAGAACAAGAUCUUCAACUUUCAUGUUGGGCAAAAAUUCAUUUGAGGCUUGUAUCAAAAUGUAAGUUUGAGGAUCAAGACUUUCCAUUUAUGGCAGGUUUCAGUUACAGGCCCAGUUUCCAUUUUGGGAAAUUCAUGAUCUGGCUUCAAAUUCUUCCAUGAUGGUGUUUGGCAUGAUAUAUGAUGACUAUUUGGACAUGAAUGAACUCUCACAAACCAAAUCCAAUCAUCCAAUCACUGAUUAAAUGGACAGUUGACCAACAGUUGACUAUUAGGGUUUUUGUCUGAUUAUGCAUUAACUGAUGACUUCCAAACCCUAAUUCCUUGAGAAUUUGACUUCAAAUGAUGUCCCAAGUUGUAUGAACUCUUGAUUAUUGAUCAUGGUGCCCAAAUUCCACAAGAAUGACCACCAUCCACUACUUUGACUGAUAGUUGACUUUUCUAGGGUUUUUGACUGUCUGUGUAUGAACUGCUGACCUCUGAGCCCUCAACCCUUGACAUGAACUCUUCAAAUAGACCUCCAAGUCAUGUGAACUUGUUGGACAAACCCCAAGGCCUUGAUUCAAUGAGAAAUUCCUUUGCUUGCUUGGUUGACUGAUCAGGAGAUUAGUUUGGCCUAAUUCUUGAUUGCUUGCACUUGAGGCAACUGGGAACAAUACAAAUGUUAUGCAAUGGACCAUGAUAUGUUAUGACCUAAUAUGAAAAUGUACGCAUAAUGAUAGGUGCAAAUUUGAGGUGCUACAAUGAGCAGAUUCGAAGAAAUUAAAAUGUGAAGUAAACCUAUGAUUUGCUGAGUUUGAGAGCAUAAUUCCUUGCUAUGGAUGCUUGCAGUUUGUUCUUUAGAUCAAAGGGAAGAAGGCUAAGGAACUUUAGAUCCAGAAAACAAUCAAUGAAAUUGAAUUCUAGAUCUGAAAAAUUUAGAGAAAGUUGGUGAGUUCCUUUGAUAGUGAGGGUGAGGAUUCAAUUGCACAGCAUUUAGGGCGCCUUCAGGUUGCUGAAAUGAGAGGCCUUGGCAUUGUAUUUAUAGGAGAAAGCAUCUGAUAUGCAUGAACAUUCCCUUGCAUGAAUGGAAAGGGCCUCCAUACAUGGGCCUGUCCAAGCGCAUGGAGGGCCCAAUUCCACUUGGAUUUGGUAGCUGAACAAUGAUAGAAGCAAAUUGGAAUGAUACAGGUUUAGCUCAUGCAAUGCAAAUUAAUUGAUUUUCCAAAAUUGCACCAAUGUGUUCAUGUCUUCGAAAAUGCCAUGUCCAAACUUGAAACACCACCUCAUGAGUAAUGGUUGGAAAUAUUUUUGCAUGAGGAUCAUUUGUUAUGUUGAUCACAACUCCAUUUGAAACUUGGAAAUUGAUGAAAAGUGGUCAUGAAGUGUAGGGUGCAAAACAUGUACAUGUGAGAAUUUCAAAAAUAGCCAAAGUUCAAGCCCCUCUGUCUCAAUGAUGCAAGCUCCAAACGAUAAAAUCUUCAACAUCAAAGUUGUAAAUCGUUUCAAGGAAAAAAAAUUGGACUUAAAUUUUGCAUCAUUUGGAUUUUUGAUGAAGAAGUUAUGGGCACUUGAAGUUGGACUUUUUCACAUUUCAAUGCCUUUGGUCCAAAGUGACCUAUAAUGUUUUACAUUAUCACAUGUAUUUCUUUUAGGAUUUUGAAAUUUUGCUCAACAUAACAUUUGAAGUAGACAUAUUAAGAUUUAAAAUUCAUUUGAUCCCACCUCAAAAUCAUGAAAAAUGAAGGAGUUAUGUCCUUGGGAAGUUGACCCAAAAUUAGGGUUUUAGUCAAAAUGACCUAUAAUGUCUUGGAAUGGAUGAUGACGUUCCAAGCAUCAAAUAAAUUUUUGAUGAACAUUAAAGUUGUUCAUAUGGUUCUUAAGAACAUUUUGUCUCUUGGGGUCAUCUCCAUUUGACAAACACAUCAAAAGUUAGGUCUCAGUGUAUUUCAAAAUAGUGAGAUGAAUUGAUUGAUCAACUUCUCAAGUCCAAACCUCAUAUCUUGAUGAAUUGAUGAUUGAGGAUACUCAAAUAAGUUCAAAUAUGCAUGAAAUGAUGAAUGAAAAAACUUCCCUUGAUUGUAUUUGAUCAUGGAUUGAGGUUGCUUCAUGAGCAAGGCACAGUUGAUGAACAGAUGAAUUAGGGUUUCCUUGGGAAACAAGCCUCAAGUCCCUUCAUUUACUUUGAUAAAAAUGAUGAAUUGAGAUAAUUGGGAGGCAUAUUUGAUGGAUGAGAUCUUUGGGAACCAUUUCCAUGCUUUCUUUCAUCUUCUCUUGGCCAUAUCAAUGCACAUAAGAUCUUGUGACUGCUCAAGCUACAAACAAGAGAUGUUAGUGACAUAUUUUUGUGCUUUUGGUUAGUAAACAAAAUAAGAAAAGAAAUAAUAUACAAUUAAAUCGUGCUUGGUGAUCUCAAACCAACUCACAAAAGUUCCCACCCAAAGGUAAGGAGCCAAGAUGAUAUGAUCCUUGAGGCAAGAUGCAAAUGCAAUGUUAUGAUGCCAUGAGGGAUCUUAGGGUCAAAAUUAGGGUCCUACAGGUUGGAUUCUAAGAUUGUGGAGCAUAGAUUGCCGUUGAAGCCAUAAUGUCUUCCAGUCAAGCAGAAAUUGAGAAGAACGCAUCCUGAUAUGGCUGUGAAGAUCAAAGAGGAAGUGCAAAAGCCGAUUGAUGUUGGUUUCCUUGUGACCAUUGAGUAUCCGCAAUGGGUGGCCAAUAUUGUGCUUGUACAAAAGAAAUAUGGAAAAGUCCGCAUGAGUGUCAAUUAUAGAGAUUUGAAUAAAGUCAAUCCGAAAGAUGACUUCCCUCUGCCACACAUUGAUAUGUUGGUAGACAAUACUGCUAAAUUCAAGGUCUUUUCAUUUAUGGAUGGGUUUUCGGGAUAUAAUCAGAUCAAGAUGGCACCCGAAGAUAUGGAGAAGACCACAUUCAUUACACCCUAGGGAACAUUCUGUUAUAGAGUGAUGCCUUUCGGUCUAAAGAAUGCUGGUGCAACUUACCAGAGAGAACCCUAGGGAACAUUCUGUUAUAGAGUGAUGCCUUUCGGUCUAAAGAAUGCUGGUGCAACUUACCAGAGAGCAAUGACUACUCUUUUUCAUGAUAUGAUGCAUAAAGAGAUUGAAGUAUAUGUCGAUAACAUGAUUGCUAAAUCAAUUAAUGAAGAGGAACAUAUUGAGCAUUUAUUGAAGUUACUCAAGCGUUUGUGGAAGUAUAAACUUCGCUUGAAUCCCAAUAAGUGUACUUUUGGUGUUCGUUCUAGUAAGUUAUUGGGCUUUAUUGUCAGCGAGAAGGGUAUUGGAGUUGAUCCUGCCAAGGUCAAAGCAAUACAAGAGAUGCUUGCGCCCAAAACUAAGAAGCAAAUCAGAGGCUUUCUCGGCCGCUUGAAUUAUAUUUCUAGAUUGAUUUCCCACAUGACUACCACAUGUGCACCUAUAUUCAAGCUUCCUCAGAAAGAUCAGUCUUGUGAUUGGACCGAAGACUGCCAGAAAGCUUUUGACAGUAUCAAAGAAUAUUUGCUUAAACCUCUGAUUUUGUCUCCACCUGUUGAAGGAAGACCAUUGAUCAUGUAUUUGAUUGUGCUCGAAGAUAGUAUGAGUUGUGUCCUUGGUUAGCAAGAUGAGAUUGGAAAGAAAGAAUUUGCAAUUUACUACCUCAGUAAGAAGUUCACCGACUGUGAGACUCGGUAUUCUAUGCUUGAGAAGACUUGUUACGCAUUGGCUUGGGCUGCUAAGCGUCUGCGCCAGUAUAUGUUGAAUCAUACCACUUGGCAGAUGUUAUUGUCAGAGUAUGAUAUCAAAUACCGAUAUCAGAAAACAAUCAAAGGUGGUAUCUUGGCUGACCAUUUGGCUCACCAACCAAUUGAAGAUUAUCAGUCUGUGCAGUAUGAUUUUCCUGAUGAAGAGAUUUUGUACUUGAAAAUGAAAGAUUGUGAUGAAUCAUUGCUUGAAGAAGGGACAGAACCUGGUUCUCGUUGGGGAAUGGUAUUUGAUGGAGCUGUUAAUCAAUAUGGAAAUGGAAUUGGGGCCAUGAUUAUUACUCCUCAAGUCACACAUCUAUCAUUAACAUCUAGAUUGACUUUCAAGUGUACAAACAACAUGGAAGAAUAUGAAGCUUGCAUUAUGGGGCUUGAAGAGGCCAUGAAUCUCAGAUUCAAGUAUUUGGAUGUCUUCGGUGAUUCGACUUUGGUUAUGAAUCAUAUCAAAGGAAAAUGGGAGACAAAUCAACCUGGUUUAGUACCAUAUAGAGAUUAUGCGAGAAGGAUUUCAACUUUCUUUACAAAGGUUGAAUUUCAUCAUUUCUCUCGAGAUGAGAACCGGAUGGCAGAUGCUCUUGCAACGUUGGCGUCAAUGAUUGUAGUGAAGUAUUGGAAUGAAGUUCCCAAUGUAUAUAUGAUGCGUCUUGAUAGGCCAGAUCAUGUGUUUGUUAUUGAAGAGAUUAAAGACGAGAAGCCGUGGUAUUACGACAUCGAAUGUUUCCUCCAAAGUCAAAAUUACCCGCCUGGGGCAUCUUUGAAAGAUAAGAAAACUUUGAGAAGAUUAGUCGGCAAUUUCUACUUGAAUGGUGAUAUAUUAUACAAGAGAAACUUCGACAUGGUUUUGCUCAGAUGCGUGGAUAGACACGAAGCAGACUUGUUGAUGACUGAAGUGCAUGAAGGUUCCUUUGGUACUACUACUUGAAUGGUGAUAUAUUAUACAAGAGAAACUUCGACAUGGUUUUGCUCAGAUGCGUGGAUAGACACGAAGCAGACUUGUUGAUGACUGAAGUGCAUGAAGGUUCCUUUGGUACUCAUUCCAAUAGACAUGCAAUGGCGAAGAAGAUGUUGCGAGCAGGUUACGAUUGGCUGACAAUGGAAUUUGACUGUUGCAAAUUUGUGAAGAAGUGCCACAAGUGUCAAAUUUAUGCUGAUAAGAUUCAUGUUCCUUUGACACUAUUGAAUGUUAUCUCUUCCCCAUGGCCCUUCUCCAUAUGGGGAAUUGAUAUGAUUGGGAUGAUUGAGCCCAAAGCUUCGAAUGAACAUCGUUUCAUUUUAGUGGCAAUUGACUACAUCACGAAAUGGGUUGAAGCGGCAUCAUAUGCAAAUGUGACCAAGAAGGUUGUUGUAAGGUUUAUCAAGAAUCAGAUUAUAUGUCGUUAUGGUGUGCCAAGAAAGAUCAUUACUGAUAAUGGAUCGAACUUGAAUAACAAUAUGGUGGAAGCUCUUUCCAAAGACUUCAAGAUUGCACAUCAUAAUUCUUCUCUCUACAGACCCAAGAUGAAUGAGGUUGUUGAAGCUGCGAAUAAGAAUAUUAAGAAGAUUAUCCAGAAGAUGGUUUUCAUGUAUAAGGAUUGGCAUGAGAUGCUCCCUUUUGCUUUGCAUGGGUAUCGUACAUCCAUCUGCACUUCAACAGGGGCAACCCCCUUCUCUCUUGUUUAUGGUAUGGAAGCGGUGCUCCCCGUAGAGGCUGAGAUUCCUUCAUUGCGAGUGCUCAUGGAAGUCAAGUUGACUAAGGCUGUAUGGUGUCAGACCAGGUUUGAUCAGCUAAAUUUGAUUGAAGAGAAGAGGUUAACUGCCAUGUGUCAUGGUCAGUUAUAUCAAUAGAGAAUGAAGAAAGCUUUUGAUAAGAAGGUCAGACCUUGAGUGUUCAGAGAAGGUGACCUUGUGCUCAAAAAGAUUUUGACGUUCAAGCCAGAUUCCAGAGGAAAAUGGACUCCUAAUUAUGAAGGCUCAUAUGUUGUUAAGAGAGCCUUUUUAGGCGGUGCAUUAAUUCUUACAACUAUGGAUGGUGAAGAGUUCACUCGUCCUUUGAAUGCAGAUGCAGUUAAGAAAUACUUCGCCUAAAAAAAGAAAAGAACAACUCGAUAAGUUGAAAACCCGAAAGGGCGACUUAGGCAAAAAUGAGCAUCUCGGUGGAUUGAAAACCCGAAAGGGAGAUCUAGGCAAAAAUUAGAGACAUAAAAACAGAAAGAAUUUCCCGAUAAGUUAAGUACCCCACCUUGGGGCAACUUAUGCAAAAAUAUGGGAUUAUGGCAAGUAACUACAUUCUACUGAUCUUCAGAUUUUGAAGGCUUGUUUGAGCACAAGGGUUGACAUCAGUUUGUCCCCAACAACGGUCAAGAGCACAACAGAUAUCAAGAGAUGGUAGAAGGAUUAAGGAUCAUUUGUAUUAAAUGUAACCCUUUUCCAUGUAAAUUACCAUUUUUAACUUUGUAAAAAUCUAUGGAGUCUUGUCAUUUACAGACUACCAUUCCAUCAAAUAAAGUUGAGCUUUUAUCCAGUUAUUUCUACUCUUAUUUACUUCAGCCAAUAGUUUUAAAUUUUAUUAUGAUCAUUUUGAAAUUAAAAUUUUUUAUCAAAAAAAAAAUCAAGUUUUUUUUAAAAUAUAUAAAGCAUGAAUUUUUCAAAGCAAUUAAAAUGAGUAUCAACAGCAUUUCGAUGGAUAGCAAGUCCUUAAAUGCGAAACAUCAGAGGUUCCCCAAGCAAUUAACCCUUUGGGUAUCCCUAGACGUUUGUGUGGAUUUAGUUCCUCGACGGAGUGUUUGAUACUCAGUGGAAUUUCUUUCCUUUUCCCCAGCUGAGUUGGAUGAUCCAGAUACCCUACGGCAUGUUGUUUUCCUCGACAGAGUUUCUGCCUUCCCUAGCGAAGUUCGUAUUUCUUCAGCAAGGUUGAUCUUUAGAGGUGGUUGAUUUUCCCCCAUUAAAUCGCAUUGGUUUCCCCACCAAUCUCCAUUCAACUUGCUCCCAGUCAGAGUUUCCUCCUGGUUUCUGAGCAGCUUUUGUUAUGAUUUUUCUCUAUAGGAUUGUCUCCCAUUUUUAUGGUGUUGACCUAAAAUCCCCCGCAGAUUGGAUGUUCUGUCCUCAGCAGAUCUCCUCCUUCCCCAGCUAGGGUUGAGCCUUUGGGAUGUCGAUCUCUUUGUUCUCCAACAGUUGUCUCCAUAUUUUGUGGAUUGACCAAGGAUUGUACCGUUGGUUCAAAUUCUUUGUGACACCUUUGUAUCAUUUGUGAUCAUUUUGUCAACAUAAUCAUCAUAUAUACAUAUACAUAUAUAUUCGUAUAAUUUCAUAAUUUGCAUAUCCUGCAUCUUUAUAUUUGAUUUAUUUGAGAUUUUUAUUCUCUAUUAUGGAGGUAUUUUAUCCCCAUACCAAAUCUGGUGUCUGUCCUCCUUCAAUUGUAGAUUGUCAACCCCUUAAGCAGAAAGACUUUAACCUUUCUCCGUUUCCCCAUUGAGUUUGUUUCCUCGUGGAUGGUUGUUAUUUUAGUUUCCUCUCGAGAGGAUUUUCUGGAUGGAAUUACUCCCCUUGAGUUAUGUCCUCAUUGGGUUGUGUCUUAAUUGACUGUUUCUAUCUAGCUCUUACCUAGAUAGAUGCUUUGAGUCUCCUAAGAGUUGAUUGCCCAGUAACUGGUAAUAUUCUUCUUAGUUUGCCGUUUGUUACUUCUUGCCCAAUACCUGGAAAAAGUACCCCUGUUUUUCUCCUCAGUAGAGUCCCUAGUGGAUCUAUUCCCCAGUAAGUGUAUCCUUUAUAUGUUCACCCUAACCGGUGACGGAUAUCUUUCUUUCCCCUGCCGGAGUCUAUCCUUGAUAUGUUCACUUUAACCAGUGAUGGAUAUUCUCAUUUUUGGUAUUCUACCCAGUAAAAGGGUAUUUGUAAUCCAUAUUUUGUUCCCUAGAGAGUUAAUCCUUGAUAUGUUCAUCUUAACCGAUGACGGGUUUUCUUCUCCUUGUGGUUUUCUACCCAGUAACCGGGAGUUGUAAAUCCUACUUUAUCACCUUGCAGAGUCUAUCCUUUAUAUGUUCAUCCUAACCGGUGACGUAUUUUCUCUCCGACGGUUUUCUAUCCAGCUUUCGAUAAAUGUAAUUCCUAAUCAAUGACGGGUAUCCUCCUUGACAUUCCCGGGCAAGCCUAUCCUUGAUAUGUUCAUUUUAACCGGUGACGAAUUUUCUUCCCUGUCGAGUUUAUCCUUGAUAUGUUCAUCAUAACCGAUGAUAGAUACUCUCGCCUUUGGUCUUCUUCCCAGUAACUGGUAGUUGUAAAUCCUAUAUUUUCUGCAAUUUCCCCAGCAAGGUUAUUCUUACCCAGUAGUCGGUAAUGAAUUUCCUCUCCUGGAAUCCUCAGCGAGUCAUCCUUGAUAUGUUCAUCUUAACCGAUGACGAAUGUUCUCUCUGUCAGAUCUUUAUUAUCUCCUUACCCAGUAACAGGUAGUAGAUAAUAGAUUUAUGCUCCUCCUGUGUUGAAGUUUAUUGCUUCCCCAGUUAAGUUGAGUGUGCGUUUUUCCUUAGUGAAAUCGCUUUCCCCUGCAUGAUUCGAGUACUUCAGUUUUAUCCUGACCUACUCAUGUCUCUUGCAGAUGUUGUUGUUUCCCCAGCUGAGUCUUUCCAUGUUUGUAUGGAUGUCCUCGAGUCCUCCAACAAUUUUUAAGUCGUAGCCUGGCCUACGCAUAACCCCUCUUACCCCUCCCCAAGAGUCUUUGUCUCCCUAGUGAGUUUUCCUUACGGAAUGCAUUAUGCUCCUGUGGAUUUUCGGUCUCUCUGAUUCCUUUUUUCCUUUGUGGCAAUAUUUCCCACAGAGCAUUAACUUUUACAUUCAUAUCAUAUGCAUCAUGAGGUAUCUUAGUACCAAAAUUCGUUUCUCUAUGUUGUUAUUUAAGCCCAUUCUACUGAGUCGAGCCGAAGAUUUUAACCUUCACCUCCUUAGUUAGAAUGUCCUUAAAUAGGGGCAGUUGUAAGACCCCAAUUUUGACCCUAAGAUCCCUCAUGUAAUUUCAUCAUAAGUAUUAGCAUUGAGAUCAUACCUUGGCAUCCUCCUUACCCCUCUUUCAUUGGGUCUGUUUUAGGAGAGAUCACCAAGCACUUUGUGAUUGUAUCAUACUUGUAUUUUAUCAUUUCACUAACCAAAAUAUCAAAAAUAUGCCUUUACAUUUUCCUAACUCUUUUGUAGGAAGGGCAUGAUCUCCAUUGAUCUAUCAAGUUCACAUCUAAGGUUUGAGACCCUAAUGAACAAAGAGCACAACCAAGAAUCAAUCCAAGAAUGGUUAUGAGCAUCAUAUACGACUACCAAUGUUCUCUACAUGUUAUAUUGAUCAAGUUUUCUUCAAGAGUUUGAGGGUGAUUUGCCUUGGAAAUCCUAGUUUGACUGGGUAUCUUGAGUAACUUCUCCAACAAGCUAUCACACUAAUUGAUCAAAUUUCUAAAGGGACACUUCAAAAUUCAUCAUCUUAUUCAUAUAUGAUCUACCAUGAGCCAAGAAAUUCAAGAGAAUUGAAGGUUAGCAAGUUGGUUGAUGGUGGUUGGCCAGAUGGAUUCAUCUGAUCAAAACUAGGUCUCCCUAGACCCCAUCUCCUACAAUUUUCACCAUAUGAAAAUUAUUCCAAGAUAAAAUUUACUCUAAAUGACAUUCCAAACAACUUUCAUGUUGAGACCUAGAGGUAGGUUUGAAUGGAAAAUCAUUUUAUAUGUUGAAACAUUCUAGGUCAUUUUGUCUAAACCCUAAUUUGAAAGUCAACUUCCCCAGGCCAUAACUUGCUCUAUUUUUAUGAGAUGAAAUAUUUCCAAGUUUCACAAUCAAAUUCAAUGUGUCUACUUCAACUUUGAUGUUUAUAGUGGGAGAUAAUUCAACUUUUUUUAGCAUGUGAUAUGAGGUUACAUUAUAGGUUAUUUUGACCUAUACCAUUGAUCAAGUGAUUUUUCCAAAUUUCAAAAAUGCAUAACUAUAUCAUUUUAAAUCCAAAUGACAUUAAAUUGAUGAACAUUUUGAAGGUCUUUUAAAGAGAUACAACUUUGAUGAAGACACUUUUCUCAUUUGAAGCUUAUAUAAAAAGUAAAGCAAUGUGGAAUAUGGAGACAUAUGGCUUGACACUUAGAAAAAUUUUGAUAUGUCAAAAAUUUCCAAACUUCCACCUCAAAUUUCUUCAAGUUACAAACUCCAAACAGAAAAGUGUUGAACAUGAAAGUUAUUCCUCUUGAUCUGACCUUUCCAAAGACCUCAAAUUCAUUCAUUUUGGAUAAGGAAUGCAUAGGCUGCACAUGGCAUGAACAUGGUGUCAUCAUUUGGAAAAGAUCAAACUUCAAAUCCAAAUGUACACUUGACUUGCAAUCCAAGCUGAAUUCAGCCUAUCUCACACUCAUUUGUGGACUUAUGGCAAUGAUUUUAUGGGCCUAUGCGCUCCCAUGCACCCAUGCAUCAUCAAAGACCAAAUUUGGAAAGUGAAUUCAAGUGUGCAAAAAGCAAUGGAUUCAGCUAUAAAUAGAGCCUCAUAUGCUCAGCAUUUCGGACACAUUCGCGUCAGCUUUGAUCCCAUAACUCUAACCCUCACAUUGCAAAGGAUAAACCUGAGAAAUUCACUUGAAUUUGAGUUUGAAUUUCCAAUGUUUUGAAAUUCAAAUCUCCAGGAAUCCAUAGCCUUUUGAGCAUUCAAUCCUUCUUCUGCAAGCAUUUGGAGUGAGAUCAAGCACGAACAAGAGCAAGAUCAAUUGAAUCCAGACCUCCAUUGAAGGUAUUUUCCAGAAUUUUUGAUCUCUCCGAUUCUCUCUAAUUCUUACUCAAUUCUAUUGAUUCUUUGGUUGUCUGAAGUCCUACCAAUGUAGGCAAGAAGAUUGAGUUGCUUUGAGGCCAAAUCGAAGCAACUAAAUUAAUGUACCUCAAAUUUCAACUCCAUGUAUCUCUCAAUAUACUUGGAGUUAAAGUGAAUUGAGGCUAGAUUCAAACUCAGUGCCAUUUUUACUUUGAAAUCAUGUCCUUGUUUAUAAUUUUGGUUAUGGUUGAAGGUGGACCAGUCCGGUGAGGUCCACCGGAGAAGAAGGUCGGAGCUACAGCUCCGCCCAUGUGAUCCUCUUGAUUUGUUUUAAUCUGGAGCGUGCAUUUUAAUUACCAAUGUUAUGGCGCGCUGACUUGAGUUCAUCGUGGAUAACAUGUUUCUGGCCACUUGAUUUGCCACCUCAAUUAAUGAGGGAGAUCAAGUGGUCCACGUUUUUUCUGAUAUUUUAUUUUCAUUUUAGUUGCAUUAUUUUUAAUAAAACAUAUUAAAUUCAAUAUUGAUCCAAAAAAUAAAGGGACUUUCACCAAAAAAUUUCAAAUAUUUUUCUCUUUCAUAUUCUGAAUUAAAAUUAUUUUUUGGAUCAUUAUUAAUAUUUUUCAUGAAUUAAUUGAUUUUGCAUUUGUUUUUAAUUGUUUAAAAAAUUUGGAUCAUUAUUAAUAUUUUUCAUGAAUUAAUUGAUUUUGCAUUUGUUUUUAAUUGUUUAAAAAUAUUUUUAAAUGUCCAAAAAUUAUGAUUUUUUUUCUCCAAGGUCCUUUGACCUUGUUUGACAUAUGAUAAAUCUCAUGGCCAUUUCUUUGGUGUUUUGAUGAGAUUUUAGGAAUUGGACAAACCAUAUUUAAUUUAAAUGCACUAUUUUCGUAUUUUAAUUUGAAUAAAUGCCAAAUAAAGUUGUUGACCAAUUGUGAUGACUUGUUUAUGUUUGAAUCUUGUUGUUGGGCCUUGGUCAAGGUUGAUUUGACUUUGUUGACCAAUUGAUGGAAUGUAAAUUCCAUCUCCCAAAAUGAAUGGAUGAUAUUAAUAUGGUAAAAGUCCUCCUUUGAUCAAUUUGUGUUUUGAUCCAUUCCCCUCCCACUUCAUCUUACCCCCUUUACUCAUUCAUUCAUUCCAUUUGGCCUAUGAUAUCUCAUAAUCCUAAGGCUAGUUGAUUGAAAAUUUGACAUGAGUAUGGAUGAGAUUAGGCCACAACUUUUGCAUAUUCUUUUUGUGUGUGGUAUAUUUCAUGAGCAUAGUCCAUUAUACUAUGUCUCUAACAUGCAUUAACACUAAAAUUUUAUUGCCCAACUGUUAAUACCUUAGGAUUGACAUUAAUUUUGUAAAAUAAAUAAUGUAAUCAUCUCUGUUGUUUUAAUAUGUUGGGUUGAAGAAGUUCAACAUCUGGACCAACAUGUCAUGUACGAUGUCACGACAUCAGGNNNNNNNNNNNNNNNNNNNNNNNNNNNNNNNNNNNNNNNNNNNNNNNNNNNNNNNUUGUAGUGAUAGGAAUGGAAACUGGAGGUUUCUAUCUAGGAGUUCCUAGGUAUAGAUUGCAUUGGGUAGGGAUUAAGUGAAGAGUUGUAAACGGGGGAGUUUAACUCUGAAUUAAUACUGCUGAUAGUGGAUCUUCUUCCUGGCUUGGUAGCCCCCAGAUGUAGGUCAUGUUGGACUGAACUGGGUUAACAAUUUCCUGUGUUUGUUUUCCUUCUGCAUAUGUUAUAAUCCUGUAUUCCAUAACCAAACUUGUAUUUCAGUCUGCCUACCAAGAUAAUAACAGACCUGAUACAUAGCCUUCUGGUUGUAUGUCAAUCAGAAUGUCGUAACAUUCAUCAUUGACAGCUUAUACUGAAUAAUAGACAGGUUGAUUUCUAUGCUUCAGUUCAGUAUAUAUUUAAGUCUGGUUUUCAAGUGAAAACAGACCUGGCCAAAGGAUCAUUGUGAAGCUGUCAAACUGGAUGGCUAGAUAGUUGUUCAUGUAGGCUGAUACUGAACUAGAGACUGGUUGGUCGUUUACAGUACAUCAAAUUUAGCAUAGUCGGUUUCUCUAGAACAUAACAGAAUCAGUAGGAUGUAUAUGUUCUGACUGUCAAUCAGAAUGUUGUGACAUUCAUUCCUGACAGCAUGUGCUAAAGUGUAGGAUGAUUAGUUUUUUUGUUUCAGUAUUUUUCUCAGGCUAUUCUUUAGGAAUCCAACAGCUGAGCUAAAAUCCAGGAAACCAACUACUGCCCUACACUUAAUGAACCUAACAAAUAACCUAUUUGUUAGCAAUCUAAUAAGUGGUUAUUAGAUUAAUGUAUUCAACCUUUAAUUCAGGAAAUACAAGUAACAGACAAGCACACUGGAAUAAUGUAACAGAUGAACAAUAUUAAGACAUCGUGCAGAUAACAUGUGUAGGAAAACAACAGAAGUGAGUGCUAUGAUUGAUCUCUGCUGAGUUUGUAUACCAUAUGCACAGGACUAGGGGUUCCUUCCCUCUAGGAUGACAUAGAAAGAGAUGUAGUGACAUCUGUGAAAGAGUGAGUCAGUACAGGGCUUUUAAUGUGUUAACUAUCUUGCUGCAUUAGUUACAAUGUUGGAUCAGAUGUCAUGACUUGGAGUAGAACAUCUGAAUUCUGACUACGCCAGAAUUUCAAUUGGUAUCAGAGCAGGCAUCCUGUUCUAUUUCUGGAUGAGAUCCAUGGCUGAUACUUUCUGGUAUUUGGCAAGAAGUUAUGUUAGUACUGGUGUUGGAACCUGAAGAUGGUUCUGUGGUUUCCCUGAAUGGUCCCUUGAAGUAGGUGGAUGGACUAUUCAUGACAGGAACUGUGUGCACCUGCCUCUGGAGAUAGGUCCCUUGAAGUAGGUGGAUGGACUAUUCAUGACAGGAACUGUGUGCACCUGCCUCUGGAGAUUGGCAAUUGGCCUUUGUGUGGGACAGCUGUGCAAGUAUUGAAUCAUAUUCAAACUUGGUAUGGUCUUGGAGGCUGAUCUGGUGAAGUGCGUGUUCAUAGGUUGAGUUGUAUUAUAAUUUCCGCUGCAUAAUACCUGGCAAAACUCAAACUCUGAUGUAGUUUCCCCCCAUAUGGAUGAAAGGUUGUUGUAUUCGAGAUUUCAUCAUAUUCUACUGAAGAUGUCAAAGAUGCUUGAGUCUCAUCAAGUCCCCUCCUCUUAGUAAGAAUCACCUGAUCACUGAUUCUUGUACUCUCCUGGGUAGUGUAUAUGAAGACCUUGAAGUCUUUCAAGGAGGGUUUGCUUCAAGGAGGCUAAACUAAUGUUCUAUGUGAUGUUAGAACAUGUUGUUCAACAAGUAGGCAUCUACUGGUUGAAGAGCAGAUGUGUUUAGGUGUCAAACAAAGGGAUACUUUGGUUUGAAACCUACUCCUGACCUGGAAGAGGAGACAUCUGUGUGUGCUAAGUUGACAAGGGUAGGGUCAACUGUGUGUGUGCUCAAGAAGGUCACUUUUAGAAGUCUGAUCUCUAGAAGUGGAGCUGGUUGAGAUGUGACAUUGUGCAAUCCCCGCUGUGUGCCUUAUUCCUGUAGAUUGAUCAGGGUUGGAUAGUUGUUUCCUGAAGUACUAUGGCGUACUGGAAGACAAGUCCCCUGGAUGAUAGAAGUCAAUAAUAGGGUAACCUGACUGCUAUUCCAUUUAAGAGGAUUGGGACCAUGAAUCUUGUUAUUCAAACACCUCGCUCAGAAGUGGCAGUUCCUUCAAGGAGUGAGAAUAUGAAGAUUCAGAGGUUGGUUGAGGUAGUAUGCUCUGGCAAUGCAAAUCUACUAUUGACUGGUGUUGUUUUUCACUAGUACUUAUGGACAGCUGAAGUCUGAUUGGUGUGAUUGGAGUAUGUAUAGGUUUAACUCAUAGAGUUAGGUGCCACUGGUAGGGAUGGUGUAUUUCAUGUUGAGACAUGUAUGUACAAUGCAUGGAUAUUGGUGUGAAGUUUCCAUGAUUAUUUAUUUGAGGGGGAGUUUUAGUUAACCUCCUCACAUUUGGUCAGCCUAGGGUCUGGUUGGCUGUUGACUUGUGUCACAUGGGUUCUGGUGGUUGUGUGACACAUUUGCAAGGAAGAAUUCAUCUCUCUCAUUCCUAAGGGUGAAUUUAAUCUGAGAAGAUUUUCAAAACUGUUUAAGUGCUUGCAAGUAGAAGAUGUUGACACUAGAAGAGUAUUUUCAAAGUAGUCUUAUGGUGGAAGUAUCUGAAAGGAAUAUUGGGAAAGGAUUUAAGAUCAACGCCAACUUGUGCCAAGUACAAGUAUUUGAUUGAUUAUCCUUGGAGCUCAAGAUAACUGAUGUUCUUAAAAAUGUUGGAACAUCUCUUCUUCAAGACCUUGUGCAGAAUCACAGGAAGGAUAGUACAUUGGUUUAUGAUCUAUCUCUUUGGUGGCAACAAAAGCAUAUGAUCUCUAAAAAGGUUUCCUGGCAAGAAACAUGGUCAGCCUUGGUGUGUACAAGAUGAAGAAGACAUCAUAGUCUUGAUGGUGGUUACUUGGAUCAGUUUAUCUCUGAUCUAAGUAAGGAAGUGCAUUGGCUAAUGCACACUAUGAAGUUAAGAACAAGUGGCGGCAAUCUUAACAUCAUGGAAAUAGCCUUGCUGUAGGAAGAAGAAUCCUUGGUAUAGCUGAAGGGUUAGUUGCUAACUGGUCCUUCUGAAGAAUCUUGCACCAGAGUGUCUGAUGUCUUUGGAGAAGAAGCAGGAAUUCAUCAAGGUGUGAGCUUGGAUGACUUAACUGCAAACCUGCAGGAUGGAGGUUGUUUACUCAAACUUGGUUCCACAAUCAAGUCUAUGAGAACAUUGAACUCUUGUUCUGUGAAGGGAGGAAGUUCUUUCAAGUGGCAGAAGAAGGAGCUGAAUUCAACAGCUGGAUGUCAAAACACAAUGUUGUGACAUUUGGUUCAACAUCAGAUUCUUAGUUGGUGAAGUGGCACAUCAACUUGAGAUAGAAGGGUCUACAGGGUUGUAGAUUGGACACUUCAAAAGGCUUGAAGUUCAAAUCUCACUUGGAAGGUCAGAAUAUCUUUGGGAGAAGUCUGAUAAACUUGGAGAGGUCAAAAAGUGGCAUUUGACUUUCUCAUAUGAGGAUUCAUGAAGGAGGUAAUCAACCAGUGACAUUUGGUCUAUCUCAGAAGUGAGUUCGAAGAAUCAAGAUAAUCAACAUAUGGCAGCUGAUUAUUCUUGAGGAAAGUCUGAGACAAAUUACUUUUGAGCAGAAAAGUAGUAAGUUGAAGACAAAAGGAGGUGUUUUCUAUUCAUCUCUUGGAGCUUGUGGUAGGAGUUCUGAGCUAUCUAUGGAAGAUUAUCUCUUGUAAUGGGAUGAAAAUGUAUAUGUCCCAAUGUNNNNNNNNNNNNNNNNNNNNNNNNNNNNNNNNNNNNNNNNNNNNNNNNNNNNNNNNNNNNNNNNNNNNNNNNNNNNNNNNNNNNNNNNNNNNNNNNNNNNNNNNNNNNNNNNNNNNNNNNNNNNNNAAAGUCUGAGACAAAUACUCUUGAGCAGAAAAAGUAGUAAGAUUGAGGAAAAAAGGAGAUGUCUUAUCUAUUCAUCUCUUGGAGCUUGUCGGUAGCGAGCUUUCAAGCUAUCUAUGGAAGAUUUAUCUACUUAUACUGCGAUGACAAGUAUGGUCCGCAAUUUUGUCUGGCUCCUUUUGACUGAGCUGGUGACUCAGUGAUAUCUAAAAUUUAUCAGAUGUGUGCCCUGUUAUGGUGUGAGGAUGUCCUAACUAUGUUAGAACAUUUUGUGAAGAGGCUUUCUGUUCAUGGCUUAAAAGAGAGAUUGACACAGGUGUGGAUGUCGUUCAGCCAGAGGGUUGAACAGAGAGUUGCUUCUUGAAGACAUGAAGAUGCACUCUUAUGUUUUCCUUCAUCAAGUGUCUGGGUUCUCUUUGAAUCAGGAAGUAUGUGAAGGUCAACUUUGCGAUGUUGGUAUGCCCAUGUGUGAUCUCCAAGUUUCAAGAGGAGAGUGGCGUUGUAUGACAGCGGGGAGUCUUCUGUCCUUUGUGCUGUUAAUGUAGUAACCUCAUCUUGUGCGUCUAGGGGCCCGUCUCAGAUAACUGCAGUAUGGCACACCUGUGAGGAUGCAUGCGUAUAAGUCAAGGCUGAGUGAGCAGAAGAAUGUACUGACCUGAUAGUCUGACAUUGCCCUGCAUUGCCUUGUUAGUUCCUCUGAAUCUUAAAUCAUUAGGAAUUAUGGAUGUGGUCGUGUCUAAUUCUGAUAAUAGAAUAAGCCUGAUGGUCACAGUUGCUGUGUACAUGGGAGUAACCAUCUACUGGCUGUUUGUGUGAUUUUUGGCUUUGUAGCUGCCAGAUGUCAAGUCUCUACUAGAAGUAUGAAGUCGUCUUAGGAAAUGUUGAAUACUGGCAGAUGCAGGGGAAAAGCCGCGCUGGAAUGUUAAGACAUCGUGUCAGACGUGUCUGACUGAUAUAUGUAAUAGUCUCCUGCACAUGACUGCCUAUUUUGGAAAAGAAACAGGUCAAGAGCAUAAAAGGCAUUAAGAUAGUCUGAGAUUUUGUUUGGUGUUCUGCUGACUGUUUCUCAGCAAAUAUUAAUGAAUCUUGACCAAGAUUUAUUCCUACCGUAAUCCUAAGCACGGGCUGCGACUAUUUAAAGGAUGCUAAUAGCCCCUUAUUCUCACAAGGAGAAACACUCCAUUCCCUCUGAAUCAUGGGCGGUAUGUUUAAGGUUUGGGCAAACUGCCGCCUGGAUCUGGUUCAUUGUGAGGAUUCCUAUUAACAACAUCUGUAGCUAAAAGCGGCGGAGAGAAUUAGUCCUGAGGUUAAGAAUGUCAGAAGCAAGCUAAUUGUGGGUGUGUAGCAACAGAAGUGGCGUCAGGCCAUAAAAUCCACCACUGGUAUACCACUUGUGUCUUGUGAUCUGACGUUAGAAGACAAGUUGUGCCUCUGUGAUCUGAGUUACAUUGGUCUAUGUACUCAGCAUUACAUAUUCUCUAUUCCCUCAAGAAGCCUCUCCUGUUGAGGAAGGUUCUGGUCCUAUUCUGUACCUCUACUUCCUUCAUCUACACCAAACUUGGAGUUUGUGAUGGUGCGAGUCAAUGACAAGAGAUGAAGAGCAUAACCAUAUUGGGAUGUUCUGCUUCCAGUGCAAAUGUUUAUUUUUGUUUUAGUAAAAUUGCCAAAGGGGGAGAUUGUUAAUACCUUAGGAUUGGCAUUAAUUUUGUAAAACAAAUAAUUAAUCAUCUCUGUUUGUUUAAUAUAUUGGGUUAAGAAGUUCAACAUCUGGACCAACAUGUCAUGUACGAUAUCACGACUCAUCGCCUGACAUCGUACAUGUGGUAGAAAACUGAAUUAAUUAAUUCAGUAUAUUCUGGAUAGUAAGAUAUUUGGUGAAUAUCUAACUCCCAUGUGGAGGUCUUAAGACUCAUCAGACAUAUAUAUAGGCUCAAAAUAAGGAGAUAUAUAUGGAGAGAUUUUAGGAUUGAAGACCUUGUUUGUAGCAAAAAAUUUCUGAUGUAUUUGUAACAGCAAGAAAAGUUUGCUGCGAUUUCUGAAGGCCAAAUCCAGUUGGUGAUUAGGUAUAAAUAGAUAUUGUACCUGGGUUAUUGUAAGCCUCUAGAAAUGAAAUUAGGGUGGUGUGAGGUAGUAAACCUCCCAAUCUGUGGGAAGGUUACCAUGUGUUUCUCAGUGUGUAAAGCUGAGGUCUUGUUAACUCAAAGCCUGUAGCAAGACGUGAUUUGCUUCUGAAUUUGAAGCUGUUGAAGCCAAGUUAAGUGUAUUUGAACAUUACAUUGUAUUUGUAGUGAUAGGAAUGGAAACUGGAGGUUUCUAUCUAGGAGUUCCUAGGUAUAGAUUGCAUUGGGUAGGGAUUAAGUGAAGAGUUGUAAGCGGGGGAGUUUAACUCUGAAUUAAUGCUGCUGAUAGUGGAUCUUCUUCCUGGCUUGGUAGCCCCCAGAUGUAGGUCAUGUUGGACUGAACUGGGUUAACAAUUUCCUGUGUUUGUUUUCCUUCUGCAUAUGUUAUAAUCCUGUAUGCCAUAACCAAACUUGUAUUUCAGUCUGCCUACCAAGAUAAUAACAGACCUGAUACAUAGCCUUCUGGUUGUAUGUCAAUCAGAAUGUCGUAACAUUCAUCAUUGACAGCUUAUACUGAAUAAUAGAUAGGUUGAUUUCUAUGCUUCAGUUCAGUAUAUAUUUAAGUCUGUUUUUCAAGUGAAAACAGACCUGGCCAAACGAUCAUUGUGAAGCUGUCAAACUGGAUGUCUAGAUAGUUGUUCAUGUAGGCCGAUACUGAACUAGAGACUGGUUGGUCGUUUACAGUACAUCAAAUUUAGCACAGUCGGUUUCUCUAGAACAUAACAGAAUCAGUAGGAUGUAUAUGUUCAGACUGUCAAUCAGAAUGUUGUGACAUUCAUUCCUGACAGCAUUUGCUAAAGUGUAGGAUGAUUAGUUUUUCUGUUUCAGUAUUUUUCUCAGGCUAUUCUUUAGGAAUCCAACAGCUGAGCUAAAAUCCAGGAAACCAACUACUGCCUUACACUUAAUGAACCUAACAAAUAACCUAUUUGUUAGCAAUCUAAUAAGUGGUUAUUAGAUUAAUGUAUUCAACCUUUAAUUCAGGAAAUACAAGUAAAAGACAAGCACACUGGAAUAAUGUAACAGAUGAACAAUAUUAAGACAUCGUGCAGAUAACAUGUGUAGGAAAACAACAGAAGUGAGUGCUAUGCUUGAUCUCUGCUUAGUUUGUAUACCAGAUGCACAGGACUAGGGGUUCCUUCCCUCUAGGAUGACAUAGAAAGAGAUGUAGUGACAUCUGUGAAAGAGUGAGUCAGUACAGGGCUUUUAAUGUGUUAACUGUCUUGCUGCAUUAGUUACAAUGUUGGAUCAGAUGUCAUGACUUGGAGUAGAACAUCUGAAUUCUGACUACGCCAGAAUUUCACCAACCUCAAAUAGUUGUGACUUCUACAUAAGUCCAAUUACGAUUACUUAACAUAGUGCUAAAUUUGUGACAUAAAAGGCAUAAGCAUUCUAGUUAGUGAGAUUGUAAGUCUCCCCUCUUUCAUGGUAUUAUGUGGAAACUUGGCCUUCUUUCCUUCCUUUGGAAGAUGUUUUGGAUCAAGGAUUCAUGCUUGUGAUAAGUAGGUUGAGUGUUCUCCAAAGAAUGUCUUAAAAUGAAAAGCAAAAGCAAAACAAUACUAACUUCUUACCAAUUAACUACUAACUUUUUAUUUCAAGUCCUUUACUUUAAUGCCAUUUAAUUUUUGUUUCUAUUCAUUUUCCAUUGUUCAUAUCAUUCUAAUUGUUUAUGAUAAUUCAAUUUUUACUUUGUCCUUUUGGACCAUAUUAUGUGAUAUAUUUUGUUUGUAUCUACUUUGCUUGUUUGUGUGGUCUUCGACCAUUAAUCUACAUAAUAAUAACAAAAACCCUAAAAGACUUUUGUGUGGAUUGUUGGCUUGAUCAUGGACAAAUGAACUUAGAAUCUAGGCAACCUUCCUAUGCUAAAGGACUUGGCCAAUGCCAACUUGUUAAAGAACUAAGUGCUUGCAAUUUGAAAACUCAUCUGAUACAUCUUUGAAGACAUCUCUAAGUUCAUCUGCAACAUGAUCAUUGUGAAGCUGUUAUUUUGAACCUAUGACUUGUGGAAUUCAUUUGUUACAUGGGCUAUUUUGGAGAAGAUCAUGGAAUGGAUAAGCUUGGAUGUGGACAUCUUUAUUUGAUGCCUUUCUCUUCAAGAUGAUAUAAUUGUGCAUUUGUGUGUUGCUUGAUUCUAAAAGUCUAAAGGGAAUGAUGAGUUUCUAUUGACAUUCUUGUCUAUUGGAUUGCGACCCAUUUGGUCAGAUCUUUUCAACUCUAAACUUUUAAUUUUGUACAUAGGAUAGUCUCUUCAUCUUCU
rnacentral:lncRNA from 1 species